AAGAACAUGGUUCUUCAAGUCAAACAUCUAAUAUCAAACAGCGAGCAUUCAGAACUCCAGAUCCAAAUGAUUUUACGACAUCUACAAUAUACUAUGUGAUCCCGGCUUAAUACUUCAGUUUAGAAGGUGCCGGCAAGAGAGGAAAAUAAAAAUCAUGAUUUCCUAUUUCAGAUUAUAAAUCUGUCAUUUUGUCUAUCAGUAAACACUGUUGUCCUUCAAUAAUCUGUUGAAGGACAACUGUUGUCCUUCAUGUUUUGAAAUGUCUUCUAUUAUCAUUCAUUGAUUUUUAGUGUUUAAAAUGGGUUGAUUCUCAAAUAACUGAAUACUUUUGUAAACCACAAACUGUAUGUGAAUUUUUGUUCACAUUUUCA